ensembl:lncRNA
GCCCCUAAACGCUCCUGUGCUGCCCCUGGCAACCAGCAACCUGUCCUCCCACCUCUUUCAGAGCACCACGGAAGCGGGGUCAGCCAGCAGCAUCUGAGUCUGGACCCUUCCUUUCGGCCCAGCGCCCUUUUGGUGUGGGUGAAAAGCUGCUGUGACUUCUCUUGGGUCCCAGAGUUUCUGGUGGCUUCUAAACCAGACUUGCUGGAAGAUUUGUCCGGGGAGAAGACGCGGGCACCAUCGACCCCGGGUCCCCUCCGGAGCAGGGGCGCAGCCGGCUGGGAGCAGGAAGGGCCGAGAGCAGCGGAAGAAGGAAAAGAUGGACCCAAGCGGCUCUCAAACUAGAUGAUCCAACCCUGAGUAAUUGGGAAUCAACUGUGUGGGCCAAAAUAAAUCUAAAAAAAUCUUAUUAUGUUCUGUCUUUCUUUGUUUGUUCUGGGAAUUGAACCAGGGCCUUUGCACUGAGUUACAU